GACGUAGGGCGCGAGCGUUGUCCGGAUUUAUUGGGCGUAAAGAGCUCGUAGGCGGCUUGUUAAGUCACGGGUGAAAGUUUUCGGCCCAACCGGAAAAUUGCCCGUGAUACUGGCGAACUUGAGUGCGUGAGGGGUGGGGGGAACGAGCAGUGUAGCGGUGAAAUGCGUAGAUAUUGCUCGGAAGGCCGGAGCCGAAGGGGCCCCACUGGUACGCAACUGACGCUGAGGCACGAAAGCGUGGGGAGCAAACAGG
rnacentral:rRNA from 1 species